GGUCCCUCAACAUUGAUUACUGGCUGGCUGCUGUGAGUGACAGGAUUCUUGAGAGCUGAUUGGUUGCAGGAAUGGGUUUUCGGUCCGUCCGUAUUUCAGUCUGUUAGAGUAUUCACGGCAACCUAAAUUCAAACAUAUCGCGUUUUUUUCUUAAUUAAUAUUUGGACUGAGCUCAAACCUAAUCGCGCACGUUUGGCGUAAUCACAAACGGGAUGACGACGAAUAAAAAAAAGACGACAGUAUUUAGAAGUCCUGUCCGUUUGGUCGUCCGGGUGAAUGGUAAGUACUAAGGUCGAAAACCUGAUACCUGAGCACCACAGGAUUGCUGGUGCUGGUCUGCCAAAAGAGUCCCACGAUGGAUGGAGCUGGCGAUGGCGUGGAUUGUUUGCUGUUGGCUUAGUUUCAAAUUCCUGUAUUGUUUAGUUUCAAGUUUAAUUUCCUUUCGUUUUAAGUUCAACUUUACUUGGUUUAAAAUUGUAAACUUUAAAAUUUUUAAGUAUAUUAAAUAAAAUAAAAAUUAUUUAAUUUAAAUUGAAAUUGGGUUUGUUUCCUUUAAGUUGACAGCCACGGGCUCCACCUUCUUCUUGGGCAGGGAAAAAUGAAAA